UGGGGAAGUAUUGCACAAUGGGCGCAAGCCUGAUGCAGCCAUGCCGCGUGUAUGAAGAAGGCCUUAGGGUUGUAAAGAUACUUUCAGCGAGGAGGAAGGCAUUAAGGUUAAUAACCUUAGUGAUUGACGUUACUCGCAGAAGAAGCACCGGCUAACUCCGUGCCAGCAGCCGCGGUAAUACGGAGGGUGCAAGCGUUAAUCGGAAUUACUGGGCGUAAAGCGCACGCAGGCGGUCUGUCAAGUCGGAUGUGAAAUCCCGGGCUCAACCUGGAACUGCAUUCGAAACUGGCAGGCUAGAGUCUUGUAGAGGG
rnacentral:rRNA from 1 species